rnacentral:rRNA from 1 species
GACGAACGCUGGCGGCGUGCCUAAUACAUGCAAGUAGAACGCUGAAGGAGGAGCUUGCUCUUCUGGAUGAGUUGCGAACGGGUGAGUAACGCGUAGGUAACCUGCCUGGUAGCGGGGGAUAACUAUUGGAAACGAUAGCUAUUACCGCAUAACAGUAGAUGUUGAAUGACAUUUGUUUAAAAGUUGAAUUUGCACCCCUACCAAAUGGACUUGCGUUGUAUUAGCUAGUUGGUGGGGUAACGGCUCACCAAGGCGACGAUACAUAGCCGACCUGAGAGGGUGAUCGGCCACACUGGGACUGAGACACGGCCCAGACUCCUACGGGAGGCAGCAGUAGGGAAUCUUCGGCAAUGGACGGAAGUCUGACCGAGCAACGCCGCGUGAGUGAAGAAGGUUUUCGGAUCGUAAAGCUCUGUUGUAAGAGAAGAACGAGUGUGAGAGUGGAAAGUUCACACUGUGACGGUAUCUUACCAGAAAGGGACGGCUAACUACGUG